rnacentral:rRNA from 1 species
UACGGAGGGUGCGAGCGUUGUCCGGAAUCACUGGGCGUAAAGGGCGCGUAGGCGGCCUGAUAAGUAGGGGGUGAAAUCCUGCGGCUUAACCGCAGGGCUGCCUUCUAAACUGUCGGGCUCGAGCACAGUAGAGGCAGGUGGAAUUCCCGGUGUAGCGGUGGAAUGCGUAGAGAUCUCCAAGAACACCAGUUGCGAAGGCGGCCGACUGGACACAUAUUGACGCUGAGGCUCGAAAGCAUGGGGAGCAAACAGG